CACCCUUAUCUUAUCUCAUAAAGUAAAGUGAAAGCUUUUAGAUUACAGAAGAAAAAUAAAAAAAAUUCUUAAAAUAUUAUGGUUGUCAUUGAUAAAGCAAUUAUUAGUCUCUUCUUCUUCUUCUUCUUCUUCUUCUUCUUCUUCCCCUUAUAUACAUUUCGAUUUCAUUUCUUCAAAAACUGAGCAAAAAAGAAAAAGAUGUCUGAUUAUUUGCCUGUAGAAGUGAUCCUUGAAAUCCUUAAAAGACUCCCAAUAGAGUCAUUGGUGAAAUGCAGGUCGGUUUGUAAGACCUGGAAUAGUCUCAUUUGCAACCCAUCUUUCAUUUCAACCCAUUUACAAGCUUCACUUUCAGAACCCAACAACACUCCUUUCAUCCUCCUUAGGUGCUUUAAAAAGGGCAAAGAAAACUACUUUUUACAUUAUGAUAAUGAUGACUUUGAUGAGUUCAAGCAGCUUCAAUUCCCUGUUUUUGGGUGUUUGUCUUAUUCUGCAGUGGUUGGUUCUUGCAAUGGGUUAGUUUGUCUUACUUUUCUACCACAAGAUGUUUUGAAUUUCAUUUUUUGGAACCCUUCCAUUCAAAAAUACAUGACAUUGCCUCAACCGAAUAUUUGCUGCUAUACUGAUGAUGUACGUUUAAAUUUUGGGUUUGGAUUUGAUUCGAGAACCAAUGAUUAUAAGCUACUUAUAGUUGGGGUUGAACAAAGUGAGACUUUGAUUGAACCUUAUUUGUUUUCACUUAAUGAAAAUUGUUGGAAAAGGGUUACUCCCACUUCACCUAAGUAUGCUGUUGAAGCAGGGAUUUCAUCCACUUUUGUUAACGGGGCACUCCAUUGGUUAGGGUAUCGGAGAGGGAAAAUUGGUGGAUUCAGUAAUGCAAUUUUGGGGUUUGAUUUAAGUCGUGAGGAGUUUUUUGAGAUAAGUUUGCCAGAAAGUUUAGUUUGGUUGUGUCCUAUGGAUUUAUCAACUAUGAGAUAUGGGGAAUCUUCCAUUGCAGUGCUUAAAAGAGAUUGGGAAGAUGGUGAGUUGCUUGAAUUGUGGGUCAUGAAGGAGUAUGGUGUGGUUGAGUCAUGGACUAAGGUGUUAGAAUUACAUUUGAUUGACCAAAGUGGAUGGUUCCCAAGGGUAUUGGGAUUUAGGAAGAAUGGGGAAGUCUUAUUGCAAGUGGAUGAUGGAGAGAUGGCUUCACGUGAUUUGAACUGCCAACAGAUGGAGCCUCAUCGAGUUGAGGUUGGGGCGGAAUUGUUAUACGUUGGUAGUUACGUGGAGAGCCUAGUGUUACUCGACAAAGCGGUUGAUGUCCGCAGUGUAAGUGAUGCAAACCAUGCUAUAGAUUCUAGUGAUUCUGAUGAUUCAAGUGAUUCUGAUGAAUCAAGUGAGGGAGAGUGCAAAAUCACAUAGGACUGGAAAUUGUAAGAGUCUGCUUUGGUAUACGUGUAAAACAUGAAACCCGCCCUUGUGAGGGGUAUAAGGAACCCAGCGGAUAUUCAAACCGUUGAAGCAUAAAUUUGCCUUUUCAUCAAGGAUCAGGCAUUCAAUAUGGUCUUUUAUUAUAUGUCUGCACUGCACUGCAUGUUUUGUUUUAGUAAGAAUAGACUCGUGGUUGUACUUAGUCAUCCUUAGGCAGUUUUUGUGACAUCCAUUUGAAAUGGCACAAAUGGUGUUGCUAAUCUUGAACAGCCUCUUUAAAUCAAUUUUAGCAUAUAAAUUAAAGAGGGAAUUCAGUAUUUGGUUGGUUUUCUUUUUUGGGUAAAAAAGAGACAGUAUUUUGGAGAGAUUAUAAAUGUUGAUACCUUUUAAAGGGAAACAUGUUGUAUCCAAAGAUAUUGCCUAAUAUAGCAAGCAGGGACCGAUAACUAGUCAUGAUGAAAGAUUACCAUGUUUAUGAUGUGUUAA